CCGAGUGCUAGCAUCAUAUGCUGGCUGUCCAGGUGUGUAAACUACACCUGUUAGCAAGGGCCGGGCAAGACCGGUGCCAGCCGCCGCGGUAACACCGGCGGCCCGAGUGGUGAUCGUGAUUAUUGGGUCUAAAGGGUCCGUAGCCGGUUUGGUCAGUCCUCCGGGAAAUCUNAUAGCUCAACUAUUAGGCUUUCGGGGGAUACUGCCAGACUUGGAACCGGGAGAGGUAAGAGGUACUACAGGGGUAGGAGUGAAAUCUUGUAAUCCCUGUGGGACCACCUGUGGCGAAGGCGUCUUACCAGAACGGGUUCGACGGUGAGGGACGAAAGCUGGGGGCACGAACCGGAUUAGAUACCCGGGUAGUCCCAGCCGUAAACGAUGCUCGCUAGGUGUCAGGCAUGGCGCGACCGUGUCUGGUGCCGCAGGGAAGCCGUGAAGCGAGCCACCUGGGAAGUACGGCCGCAAGGCUGAAACUUAAAGGAAUUG
rnacentral:rRNA from 1 species